rnacentral:lncRNA from 1 species
UUUGAAGGCAGUCAUAAAAUACUGACCCCUUCAUUCAAGGCUGAGGAAUCAGACCAUCUGAGACCAUUCAGCUUGAAUUCCAGUAUGGUUCCUUGCAGAGUGUCUCUUUGAAGGGACAAUGGCAGCAGCAAACUCUGAACCCCAAGGUAUUUCUGAGCAUCUCAGCUGAUAGCUUCAUCUCUUUGCUUGUUCUUGACAGUGCUGUGCCAGCUAUGCCUUUUUACUUCAUGCAAAGGAGAAAGCAUGGGAUGAAAUAUACUCAGGCAACCAUGAAGACCACGUUGCUUCUUAUGACCUUGUAAUUUUGAACACAGGUUAUAUGGAUUGACAGAAACUGCAGGCCUAUGCUUGUCUAGGUGUAUGGGAACUGCUGAAUCACGGCCUGAACCUCUGGUUGAUCACCUGAGAUGAGCAAUGAGUCAGCCCUGGGAGCACAGGUGAAGGCAAUUCACCUGUGCUGCCAGAAGGGAUGGAGCCUGGCUGCAUCUCUCCUAGACCCACUGAAGAGCUGACUACCAGUGGGGAAGGAUCUCUUUCUGGAGAUCCCUCCUUUGGAGUUGUAUAGUGAGCCUAGGACAGGGGUAAGCACUCUAUCUGUUCUCUUUUUUGUAUAAUAGCCCGCUUAGCCAAACUCUGGUAUUCAUUUCAUAAGUAUAACAUCUGUAUAUUCAUUGAUUAUACACUAGGAAACUGCAGACUGUAAGAAUGACUGAUUGCCAAAAUGUCUAGUUUUAGUCAUACAUUGUCUAGUUAAUCCUGUGGCUGCUUCUUAUUAAAACCACCAAACUGAAGGUGAGGAGAUAAGAACUGCUGCUGAUUUGAUUAGUGAAGUGGACAUUUGUUCUGUCAACAGUUGUGGGUCUGGCUCAGGUAGCAGCAUGAGGCCUGGCAGCAUCAACAUGUGUCACAUAUGGGACUGAGCAAGAAAGGAGUCAGCAGAUGAAAUGUCAAUACCUCAGAGACAGGAAAGUGAGGACAGAGGAUCUGCAUGGGUCCCUGCAACUACUCUCAGUUAUGGCAUCAGGGCUGAUCUUGGAGCAGUGUUAUUUCCUCUUGGUUCCAUGGUGUCUGUAUGGAGUUUCAUCAGCCAUGAAAAUGAGAGUCGUUUGAACCAGUGUGAAGAACUUGAUGACAACGAACAG